UACGUAGGGGGCUAGCGUUAUCCGGAAUUACUGGGCGUAAAGGGUGCGUAGGUGGUUUCUUAAGUCAGAGGUGAAAGGCUACGGCUCAACCGUAGUAAGCCUUUGAAACUGAGAAACUUGAGUGCAGGAGAGGAGAGUAGAAUUCCUAGUGUAGCGGUGAAAUGCGUAGAUAUUAGGAGGAAUACCAGUUGCGAAGGCGGCUCUCUGGACUGUAACUGACACUGAGGCACGAAAGCGUGGGGAGC
rnacentral:rRNA from 1 species